GCCGCCGCCGCACGCUCGCGGGCGGGCGGGCGGGCUGAGCGGGGCGACGACGCUGCUGCUGCUGCUGCUGCCGGUACUGCUGCUGGUGGUGGUGCUGCCCGCACGGCACCGCACGGAGAGGAGAGGAGCGGAGCGGAGCGGCCGCCCCGCACCGCCUCGCCCUGCACGCAAGGUAGGGAGGCGCGGCGGGCGCGUCCGAGCCGUGCUGUGCCGAGCCGAGCCGUGCCGCGAGGUACCGCGCUGUGCGGCGGCUGCCGGCCGUUACAUAACCCGCAGCGCUUGCGGGGCGCGGGGCGCGGGGUGCGGGGCGCUGCCCUGCCCUGCCCUGCCCUGCCCUGCCCGUCCUGCCGGGGCGGGCACCCCCCGGAGGCUGCCCCGCAGCACGGCGGGGAGCGGGCGGCGCCGCGGGGUGCUGCCGGUGCGCGCUGUGCCUUUUUUUAUUAUUAUUAAUAUUUUUGAUUUUUUCGUGUUUUGCUUUUUUUUUUUUGGAUGUGUGUGUGUGUGUGUGUGUGUGUGUGUUUUCGGGCGCUGCGGGGCCGGGUUCCUGGAAAUGCGGCGUUAUGUAACCGCGGGGAUCGCCCGCAGCCGGGCGGCAGCGGGGCGGCAGCGCCGGGCCACAAAGAGCAGCGGGACGGGUCUGGCGCCCCGGGAAAAUACAUGGAAAAAAUUAAAAAAAAAAAAAUAUAUAUAUAUAUAUAAAGGGAAAAAAAAAGAAAAAGAGGAAUUAAAAAUAUAUAUAUACAUACAUGAGUGUAUAUAUAUAUAUAUAUAUAUGGGGGGUGUAGCAGCGGGGACGCGGCGCCGUGCCCGGCUCUGUCACACCGCGGGACGAGCCGUGCCCGGCGGGGCGGCCCCGUGCUCACACUCACACACUCACUCACUCACACACACUCACUCACACUCACGCUGCCCCCGCUCCUUGCACGCGGGCGUGCCCUGCGGCUGUCCCCGCACACCCAGCCCGGCACAGCCGCGGGGCUCCCUUUUUUUUUUUUUUGGGGGGGACCCCCGCGGCUGGGGCCGGCCCCGUUACCGGGGGCUGUGGGCGCCGUGCGUGCGGCGCAGCCGCGGGGCGCUGUGACAGGCGCC
rnacentral:lncRNA from 1 species